GUUCCGGUAGCUCAGUGGUAGAGCUCUUGUAUAUGGUCAGCGAAAUCACCUAGCAAUCAGGAUGCGAAAUGAGCCCAACCCUUGUUCACAGGUUCAAAUCCUGGCCGGCG
rnacentral:tRNA from 1 species